GAUGAACGCUGGCGGCGUGCCUAAUACAUGCAAGUCGAGCGAACGGACGAGAAGCUUGCUUUUCUGAUGUUAGCGGCGGACGGGUGAGUAACACGUGGAUAACCUACCUAUAAGACUGGGAUAACUUCGGGAAACCGGAGCUAAUACCGGAUAAUAUUUUGAACCGCAUGGUUCAAAAGUGAAAGACGGUCUUGCUGUCACUUCUAGAUGGAUCCGCGCUGCAUUAGCUAGUUGGUAAGGUAACGGCUUACCAAGGCAACGAUGCAUAGCCGACCUGAGAGGGUGAUCGGCCACACUGGAAGUGGGACACGGUCCAGACUCCUACGGGAGGCAGCAGUAGGGAAUCUUCGGCAAUGGGCGAAAGCCUGACGGAGCAGCGCCGCGUGAGUGAUGAAGGUCUUCGGAUCGUAAAACUCUGUUAUUAGGGAAGAACAUAUGUGUAAGUAACUGUGCACAUCUUGACGGUACCUAAUCAGAAAGCCACGGCUAACUACGUG
rnacentral:rRNA from 1 species